AAAAGGGUCAGACCCCUCCAAUACAACAUAUAGAAAAAGAAUAAAAAUUUCUAUAUAUUGUUAUUUUUGGAGGAGUCAGACCCUUAUUGAAUCAGCCC
rnacentral:antisense_RNA from 1 species